rnacentral:rRNA from 1 species
AUGCUAGAUUCCGUGAAAUCCCCAUGCACGCGGCCCAAGGCAGCCAUCGAUGGUCGGAUGCAACCCGCCGCCCCUCACAACACGGUAAACCACCACCCCCUCCAAAGUGUUGUUCGGUUGCCUCGACGACGAGGAAGAGACCUGCCGCCCCCUUCACCAGCAGCUGCCUCAGAAGGAGGUGAGAAGAGGGAUGAGAGGAGUAGGGCGGCCGUGGAAAUACUAGGGUUUUCUCCCCCGCGCCCAAUGUUGACGCCAAUGCAAUCUGUAACGUGUGAGCUAUAUCUUGAUUGUGUAUUGUAUGCUCUUAUGUGGGUGCAUUUUUCUGUAGCAAAUGAUAAAUCGGUGAUAUAG